rnacentral:miRNA from 1 species
GUUCUCUCGCUCGUCAUGCCGU